AGUAAGACCAAGCCUGGUGCACCAUUUCCUUGUCUGUAGCCAUGUCUGUGGGCUCUUGAGUUGGCCAGCUGAGUGAGGGCCUUCUUAUU
rnacentral:pre_miRNA from 13 species